rnacentral:rRNA from 1 species
ACUCCUACGGGAGGCAGCAGGAGGGAAUAUUGGGCAAUGGACACAAGUCUGACCCAGCCAUGCCGCGUGCAGGAUGAAGGCGUUAUGCGUUGUAAACUGCUUUUAUACAGGAAGAAACGACUCUUGCGAGAGGCAUUGACGGUACUGUAUGAAUAAGCACCGGCUAACUCCGUGCCAGCAGCCGCGGUAAU